AACGAACGCUGGCGGCAUGCCUAACACAUGCAGGUCGAACGAGACCUUCGGGUCUAGUGGCGCACGGGUGCGUAACGCGUGGGAACCUGCCCUUAGGUUCGGAAUAACUCCCGAAAGGGGUGCUAAUACCGGAUAAUGUCUUCGGACCAAAGAUUUAUCGCCUUUGGAUGGGCCCGCGUUGGAUUAGCUAGUUGGUAGGGUAAAAGCCUACCAAGGCGACGAUCCAUAGCUGGUCUGAGAGGAUGAUCAGCCACACUGGGACUGAGACACGGCCCAGACUCCUACGGGAGGCAGCAGUGGGGAAUAUUGGACAAUGGGCGAAAGCCUGAUCCAGCAAUGCCGCGUAAGUGAUGAAGGCCUUAGGGUUGUAAAGCUCUUUUACCCGGGAUGAUAAUGACAGUACCGGGAGAAUAAGCUCCGGCUAACUCCGUG
rnacentral:rRNA from 1 species